ACACAUUAGCUUAUGCAUUUGCACCAUUUAUAUAUGUGAGUACUAAUGUUAUUUUAUAAUUGAUCGAUUAGUGUCCAAGACAAGAAGGAGGGUUCGAAUGUGGCUACUUUGUUAUGAGAUUCAUUAAAGAGAUAAUUUUUUAUCCUACAAUUAUUGCUUCAAAGUUUUGUGAUAAAAAAAACAUAUUCUCAAGUAGAAUUAUAUUUCCAUUUAUUCAUCAGAAGAAGCGCCCUUCGAUGAAAUUAGAGGAGAAUGGGCUACUUUUGUGCUACAACUAAUCAUGAAUCAUGUUAAUGCAUCAUGAUCACCAUGCAUGGUAUACACUCUUGGGAUGGUGAAAUAGAGAAUAAAAAGAAAGAAGAAGGCAACAAGAUUUUGGGUUUUUAAAUGCAACUCUUAUGUUAUACGUUGUAGGACAUAAACGUUACUUUAAUUGCAACUGAGAAAUUUAGAUUUUUAGAUGGGACUUUUAUGUCAUUUUAUGGUUAGCCGGUUUUAUGCUUAGGAAAUGGAGGUAUACAUGAAUCUUGGGAUCUUUAACAUUUCUAAAUCAUGUUUUGGUAUGUAUUCACUCUUCUUUUUUAGUUUUGAUGGGUUUGAUAUGUUGGACGUACUAUCCUUUUGUGAACAUUUGAUAUACAAAUAUUAUUAGAUGAUCAAUGUAUUAUGAGUUA